GCGCUCGCUUCAGCAGCACACAUACUAAAAUUGGAACAAUACAGAGAUUAGCAUGGCCCCCGUGCAAGGAUGAAAGGCAAAUUUGUGAAUUGUUCCAUAUAUUU
ensembl:snRNA U6 U6 spliceosomal RNA